rnacentral:rRNA from 12 species
UUGCUGUCACUUAUAGAUGGAUCCGCGCCGCAUUAGCUAGUUGGUAAGGUAACGGCUUACCAAGGCAACGAUGCGUAGCCGACCUGAGAGGGUGAUCGGCCACACUGGAACUGAGACACGGUCCAGACUCCUACGGGAGGCAGCAGUAGGGAAUCUUCCGCAAUGGGCGAAAGCCUGACGGAGCAACGCCGCGUGAGUGAUGAAGGUCUUCGGAUCGUAAAACUCUGUUAUUAGGGAAGAACAAAUGU